rnacentral:tRNA from 1 species
GCGAGAGCAGCUCGACCGGUGGAGCACGCGACCGAUAAUCGCGCGGUUGUCGGUUCGAUUCCGACCUCUCGCACCA